rnacentral:rRNA from 1 species
UACGAAGGGGGCUAGCGUUGUUCGGAAUUACUGGGCGUAAAGCGUACGUAGGCGGCUUUGUAAGUUAGAGGUGAAAGCCCGGGGCUCAACCCCGGAAUUGCCUUUAAGACUGCAUCGCUUGAACGUCGGAGAGGUGAGUGGAAUUCCGAGUGUAGAGGUGAAAUUCGUAGAUAUUCGGAAGAACACCAGUGGCGAAGGCGGCUCACUGGACGACUGUUGACGCUGAGGUACGAAAGCGUGGGGAGCAAACAGG